UUUUACUGCAAACAUGUGCAAAGUACAAGACGUGGGCGUAUGUUGACACAGGUAGCCAAUCGUUUGGAGGCGCGUGCACUUCGAGAAUUGGUGGAAAAGAAGCCUGCCUGAUACUUGGGACACUUACUUAGAUGCAGUUAUAUUCAGACUAAGAACAAAAGACCAAUUAACAACAAAGUAUAGUUGUUAUGUUUGAAUGGGAAGGCUGAUAUUCUUCAGACAUUUCCGAAAAAUAUGAGAUACCCUAAAAAAUGUGUUUUGAAUACAGAGUAACAAAUUGAAAUCAUACUGAUGGCCGGGUCAGGAAGCAGUCGCAUGGUUGAAGUCGAUUUUAACAGAAAAUAUGGAUUGAACAUCACACACAACACUGUGGCAAAACUUUAUUAGAAAGUUUCAAAACACUGGAAGUGUUACAGAUCAACCGAGAUGUAGUCGAAGACGUAUAGCCACCGAUGAAGGCCCAACCGCUACGAUACUCUCAGCGCUUACACGGAGUCCCACAAAAAGUACCCGACAGUUAUCUGCAGAAAGUGGUGUCAGCAAAUCAAGUAUCAGGCGCAUUUUGAAAGUAAAUAAAUGGCAUCUGUACAAAUUGCAUAUGGCAUAGCAUAUGAGUGAAGAUGGAUGGAAUUCUGUGAAUGGGCAUUAAGCUAAUUGAACGAGGAUGCAAACCUUUCAACCAAGAUCUUGUUUACUGAAGAAGCAAAUUUUUACAUUAAUGGAGAGGUUAAUCGGCAAAAUGUACGUUAUUGGAGUAAUGCUAAUCCUCACAGGAAUUGUCCGACGAAGAUGCAAGGUGCCGGUAAAUUGAUGGUGUGGGCCGGGAUAUGGGGUGACAGAAUUGUUGGACCAAUUUUUGUUGAUGGAAAUCUUAAUAACAAAAAGUAUCUUAAUAUGUUGCAAGAAGAGAUUUUUCCAUCCCUGCUAAAUGAGGAUGGUAACUUCCCAGUUUACUUCCAGCAAGAUGGACCUCCCUCUCAUUAUGGUAUUCACGUGCAUCAAUGGUUAGAUCAACAAUUUCCGGAUGCUUGGAUUGUUUGCCGUCGUCCUGUGGAGUUGCCUCCCAGAUCCCCAGAUCUAACCCCACUUGAUUUUUAUCUUUGGGGGCAUUUGAAGGCCAUGGUGUAUCAGGAAAAGAUACAAAACAUAAAUCAUCUUAGGAAACAUAUCACCAACGCCAUUACAAGCAUUACUCCAGUUGUGCUAAUACGUGUUCAUCAGCAGUGGUGGACAUGUAUUGAAAUGUGUUUUCAAAAUGAUGGCAGUCAUGUAGAGCAUAUUAUACAAAUUUAAAAAUGUUUUUUCAUAAAAAAAAAAAAAUUGCCUAUGUAUGCAAAUAGUAC